GGAACCUCGUCUUUUCUUCCCUUUUAUUUUACUUUGAUUUAUCACGAUGUGGAAUCUGUGAAAUGUUCUACCAGGCUAGAUGUCGCAAUUCUGCAAAAGCACCUAGACUGUAACCUCUGGUGGUACGGACCACCCAACCUAGGCUUGCACUUGCAGCCCCUCAUCCCUGCCCUACGCAUUAACCAUAUCACCAAGGUCAAGGAGAUGCCGGGCAUGUUUUUGCCAUGAAGGCCAGAGAUGAUCACGAUGAUCAGUGGAGAUUCAACCAUAAAGUGGACAAAGUGGAAAAUGUAAUUGAACCCUCUCCUGUUGAUGAAUAAAUAAAGAAGACAGAGGUGUUUCAUAACUUGGGAAAUUUUUGUCCGUGCUUUAGACUUCAAGCCUACACUGACAAUCAAAAUCGAAGUUCUAAGGCCUGAUGAAAUGAAAUUCCAAGUUUUUCAUUGAACACCAUUGAGAAUCAGACUGAGACUGAGUCGUUCAGAGGCAUUUUCCUAAAUCAUUUCAUGCAGUGUGCUUUUUCGAAAUAUCAAUUGUGGUUGAAAAGGAAUAUUUUGCCUUCAACUUCUGAUCUGAAAACAAAACGACUUAAUAGUUUUCAUGUGCUGCUUUUAUUCAAUAAGUGAAAUUCAAUGAUGCUGCUGAUGAUGUGAAUGUUGCUGUUGCUUCUACUUCCAAAAAUCUACAGGGAAAAGGACAGAAAACUAUUCGCUACAGCGUGACUGAGGACAUCAUCCUGUUGAGGGAGGCCGUCUUGGCUGUCAAUCCGCUAGAGAACCAGGAGAACUGGUUCUUGGUGACAAAUAAUCUAAAUGAAACGCUGAUAAUCAAGAGACCAAAUACCAUCCCUGUAAACAACAGAUCUGUAAAGGAACGCUUUGACAAGUUAAUCAAAUUAAUCUGCGUUGGCUGAAAAUAGAGUCAAGAUUGCUGAAUUGACGACUUGUCUUCGUUUGUUUCCGGCUCCUACACAGAGGUUUAUGUCAUUUAUGCAGCAGUGAUUGAUGAUCACAAUCUUAAUCACUAGUCUGUGGUACAGAAUAUGCCCAAAUUUGGAGAAAUGGUAAAAUUGGCUCACAAACUAUCUGUCGUGGCCUUGAAGACAGAAACUCAGUCAGGGUUCCGGCUAGCUUCGAAACGGUUCAUGAUGUUUAUGGUAACGACAACCACAAUGAAUACAUGCAAAUGAAUCUGGUGUUUUCUUCGAAGAAAAGCUGCUAAAAUGCUGGUAUUUCUCUCAAAGGAGGAGCAGUAUGUCAAUGGACAUUAGGGGGAUCAACGUAAUGUGAGUUUAGAAGGAAAUGAAUAUGUUUUUUAGUUGUGAAUCACUUCAGUUUUGGUAAAGAAUCUUGCUGAAUGUGGCAAUGCCAAUUUCACUGUGGAUGCUACAGGUUUUGAUAGAUUUGGCCACAACUUGCCCAUAUCUAAGUAGAGCGUUGAUUUAAUCACGAAGAAGUGCCAUAAAUGAACCAUGUGUGUGUGUCAGUUACCUAUAAACGUUUCAAGUGGAAUUUGUGUAAAAACAGGCUAAAGAGCAUGUGCAAAUUUCCCAAGGAUGUAGGCCAUGUUUCUGACUGCUCCACAUAGGGGGCACCACUGUGCAGUGUGUUUUGUUCUUUUGAGAUUACUUACUUCCACAUGUGGAUAAUUUGAUAGAAUCUUUUGCAUUUUGCAAAGACAUGUUUGUAAUUUGUGUCUUUCCAGUUUAACCCUUCUA